rnacentral:lncRNA from 1 species
GCCACUUCCCCUUGCUCUGCCCCCUUGUGACCGAGAAACAGGGCAAUCCUCUUGCUGCUGCUGCGAACGCCGGUUGCCACCACCGUCGCCACUGCUGCCCAGCCAGCGACGACGCCGCUCGCCGCCCAGCCUGCCACGACUGCUGCUGCCAGCCACCGCAGCCUUCACCUCAACCCCCUCGAUCUGCACCGUUGCUGCAGCCCCC